AGAGCUUCUCACAGAAUGAGAAUCAGGACAAGCUGUCUGUGCAAACACCCUCUGCCUGGAUCUUCCACAUGCCUGCUGUGAUGUCCACCUCACGUUGUUUGGUCUGCAGGUUCGUCUCGUUCAGCUGGUUUGCCGGCGCUCUGAGCUCUCUGCUGCAGUUGGCUCUCUCUCUCUCUUUGCGAGUGCACGAGCAGCAGACAAGGGAGGAGUGGCACACGAAGGCAUGAGACAGGAAGUAAAGAUUUCCUGAUGAUUUCUGGGAAGUGAUCAGCGAUGAGCAUGGCAUCGACCCGACUGGAACGUACCACGGAGACAGUGAUUUGCAGCUCGACAGGAUCAGCGUUUACUACAAUGAGGCUACAGGUGGCAAGUAUGUACCCCGUGCCAUUCUUGUGGACCUGGAGCCCGGCACCAUGGACUCUGUGCGUUCCGGCCCUUUCGGACAGAUCUUCAGACCAGACAACUUUGUGUUUGGUGAGGAAAUUGUUAAUAUUUCAUAUUAUAUUAUAAUUAUUCAUUUUUAUCUAUGAAAAAA
rnacentral:lncRNA from 1 species